AGUUCAGUCAAGGAGAGAACCUUCCCCACUGGUUGUGGCAGAAUACAACAGGCGUGUCCUUGAUUGCCUCUGGAUUGCUUGCCUUCGGAGACUGUUCAGCCAGGAACAUGCUGAGGGCACCUGCACAGAGCUCCUCAGGACACCCCCUGGCACGGUGGCAGCAUGCUGAGCUUGCGGUCACAGCUGUAUGAUGGGAGGCUCACUGCCA
rnacentral:lncRNA from 10 species